AAACUUUCAACAACGGAUCUCUUGGUUCUGGCAUCGAUGAAGAACGCAGCGAAAUGCGAUAAGUAAUGCGAAUUGCAGACACCGUGAGUCAUCGAAUCUUUGAACGCACAUUGCGCCCUUUGGCAUUCCGAAGGGCAUGCCUGUCCGAGCGUCAUUA
rnacentral:rRNA from 1 species